rnacentral:misc_RNA from 1 species
CUCAGCUCCCCCGCGUAGGCCCCGAUCUGCGCCUCGACGCGCGCGUUCUCGGCCUGGAGGCGCGCCGCCUCGGCGAUCAGCUCCUCCAGCCUCUGCUGCUUCCUCGCCCUGGAUCGCCUCGCCGACUCCCUGUUCGACAGCAUCCUCUUCCUCUUCCGCUCGUCGGCGCCACCGCCGCCGCCGCUGGUGUUGCUCUCCGGGCUGGAGCUCCGGCGCGAAGGCGACGACAUGGUCACAGUACGGUUCUUGUCCAAAACUUAAUCCAAGAACCGGAUCUCUUCAAGAGAUCAAAAAAAUUCCAAAGAACACAAGAAAGAAACUAGUAGGAGGAUGAAAAAGAAAUCAAGAUAUAAUCAAUUAGAG